GUAAAGGACACAGGUGAUUUCUGGUUUCAUGCCUUUAAAUGAGGAAAAUCUAGGAAUGUGGAAUGCCUGUUGCCAGGCAGUGAAGGAGGGGUUAGGUGAUGAGUUGCUAGGCUGCAGAAGAUGGAGUGUUCACUCCAAGAAAUAGCCAGCGAGACAUGCCUAGAGCUGAUGCAUUUUGGAGCUGCUCAGAACUUCCCUCUCUGUGGUCCUUGGAGGAGCUUCAGUACAGGUUACAGUGCCUAGCCAACCUGGUUUCUAGAAAAGAACAGGUGUGAAAUAAUGAAACUUCAUGCUGUCAACUCACAUAACCUGGAGCAAGUCCAGAAACUCAGAAUUGCUUGGAUCUGCAGAAGCCAAGGGGACAACCAAUCCGCCAUGAAGAACAGAUGUCAAAACUCAAGCCAUUUCCUUGAAGAUGGUACAAGGAAAAAGUCUUGUGUUUUAUCCCAUGGUCAUGCAAGUAUUGCUCCGUUUCAGAUGAGGUCUUGAAGAAAGAAUGAUAGAAGAAGGGCUGGGAAGGAGAUUGAAAGGAGGGGAGGAGAGUGCUCCUAAUUCCUGCAGCUGCCAGACUAACAGGAAGUAUUUAUGGGAUCUUAGUCACGGCUCUGCAACAGCUCAAGACCAAGGCCUAAUGAAUUCCCUCCCCCUGCUCCUACCAUGCAAAAAAUAUUACACAAUCUCUUGCUGCUAUUACCCUUGACUUGCCGAGGCAUAGAAAGUGCAGAGAGGGAAAAGAAGUGAAAACAAGGAUAAUCUAGAAUCCAGUUUCUCACUUUUAUGAACCAAGACAAGGAGGAGAAAGAAGAAGAAAAGAAUCACCACAGGAAACUAACCCAUUGGUGGCUGGAUUCAUUUUGCUUUAUAAAGCAAUCUUUUGAAAUUA